UACGUAGGGGGCAAGCGUUGUCCAGAUUUAUUGGGCGUAAAGAGCGUGUAGGCGGCCAUACAGGUCAGCUGUGAAAACUCGAGGCUCAACCUCGAGACGUCGGUUGAAACCGUUUGGCUAGAGUCCGGAAGAGGAGAGUGGAAUUCCCGGUGUAGCGGUGAAAUGCGCAGAUAUCGGAAAGAACACCCGUGGCGAAGGCGGCACUCUGGGACGGUACUGACGCUGAGACGCGAAAGCGUGGGGAGCGAACAGG
rnacentral:rRNA from 1 species